UGGGGAAUAUUGGACAAUGGGCGCAAGCCUGAUCCAGCCAUGCCGCGUGUGUGAAGAAGGCCUUCGGGUUGUAAAGCACUUUCAGCGAGGAGGAAGGGUUAGUCGUUAAUAGCGGCUAAUUUUGACGUUACUCGCAGAAGAAGCACCGGCUAACUCUGUGCCAGCAGCCGCGGUAAUACAGAGGGUGCAAGCGUUAAUCGGAAUUACUGGGCGUAAAGCGCACGUAGGCGGUUUUUUAAGUCAGAUGUGAAAGCCCCGGGCUCAACCUGGGAAUUGCAUUUGAAACUGGGGAACUAGAGUGUGUGAGAGGGGGGUAGAAUUCCAAGUGUAGCGGUGAAAUGCGUAGAGAUUUGGAGGAAUACCAGUGGCGAAGGCGGCCCCCUGGCACAACACUGACGCUCAGGUGCGAAAGCGUGGGGAGCAAACAGGAUUAGAUACCCUGGUAGUCCACGCCGUAAACGAUGUCUACUAGCUGUUCGUGUCCUUGUGAUGUGAGUAGCGCAGCUAACGCACUAAGUAGACCGCCUGGGGAGUACGGUCGCAAGAUUA
rnacentral:rRNA from 1 species